UGGGAUUUAGCUUAGUGGUGUAGCACCUGCCUGGCAAGUAUGUAAGGUCCUGAGGUUCAAUUCCCAAUACCAA
rnacentral:tRNA from 1 species